rnacentral:rRNA from 1 species
UACGUAGGGGGCGAGCGUUGUCCGGAAUCACUGGGCGUAAAGGGCGCGUAGGCGGUAAUAUAAGUCAGAUGUGAAAGGUGGGGGCUCAACCCCUAGAGUGCAACUGAUACUGUAUAACUUGAGUGUGAGAGAGGGAAGCGGAAUUCCUAGUGUAGCGGUGAAAUGCGUAGAUAUCAGGAGGAAUACCGUUAGCGAAGGCGGCAAUCUGGCUGGAAACUGACGCUGAGGUGCGAAAGCGUGGGUAGCAAACAGG